CUCACAUGCCUUUCUUUCUGACCGAGCUGCCACCACACCGCUGCGGUGCUGCGCUGCAAGGUCGGUCUGACUUCAGCCAUCUCCCCCCUGCACUUGCCGAGCGCUGUGCUCCCUUCCCUCGGCUGUCAUCUCCUGUCUGCUGGAGGAGGUGGGCGGCAGAGCGCGCACCGCGGGAGAUGGCUGAUCCUCCUGUGCUCGGCGAUGGGAGCGCUCAGCUGCUCCGCCAUCCUCCUCCUCCUCCUCUCCUCCCAAGCCUCUAGAAUGACAUUCCUGCCUCAGCUGUUCAGUCUGACAAUGGUGCUGGGCUGUGAUCUGAAGAUGGUGUUUCCAGAGAAGCUCAAGUACCUGUUGGGUGGUUAAAGAAGCCUUGCUGCUGCUGAGGACAUGAAAGUCUGGAAACAGAAUCUCUCUUGGUGUAAAGCUGUCAGUGGAACAGCUCUGAUUUAUUCC